GUCUGCGUGCGAGGAUAAAUGCAAACAACAAAGGCUUCGACUGUGGCAGCGGCUGCAUCAUUUGCUGGGAACUUGCCAUUAUGUUUCAGGCUCUGGACAACCCCCGGCCCUCACUUGAAUUGUGGUGGUUACAGCAGAACACAGCCCAGUUGUAACUCAAGUCUUUCCUUUUGUAAGAGGAAGUGGUGAGAUAAAUAAAGGGAUGGUGUUUCCUUAAAGCAGCUGCAUCUCCUAUUAACUGGCUAAAGAACUAACUCCUCAACAAAAAUUAGUCAACUGAACUAGUUUAAGAAAGAAAAGAAAUCUUUGAGCUGGCGAAUUUGUGGC
rnacentral:lncRNA from 1 species